UACAGAGGUCCCAAGCGUUGUUCGGAUUCACUGGGCGUAAAGGGUGCGUAGGCGGUCGGGUAAGUCUGAUGUGAAAUCUCACAGCUUAACUGUGAAACUGCAUUGGAUACUAUCCGGCUCGAGGAAUGGAGGGGAGACUGGAAUACUUGGUGUAGCAGUGAAAUGCGUAGAUAUCAAGUGGAACACUAGUGGCGAAGGCGAGUCUCUGGACAUUUCCUGACGCUGAGGCACGAAAGCCAGGGGAGCAAACGGG
rnacentral:rRNA from 1 species